rnacentral:rRNA from 1 species
AUUGAACGCUGGCGGCAGGCUUAACACAUGCAAGUCGAGCGGGGUGAUGGUGCUUGCACUAUCACUUAGCGGCGGACGGGUGAGUAAUGCUUAGGAAUCUGCCUAUUAGUGGGGGACAACAUCUCGAAAGGGAUGCUAAUACCGCAUACGUCCUACGGGAGAAAGCAGGGGAUCACUUGUGACCUUGCGCUAAUAGAUGAGCCUAAGUCGGAUUAGCUAGUUGGUGGGGUAAAGGCCUACCAAGGCGACGAUCUGUAGCGGGUCUGAGAGGAUGAUCCGCCACACUGGGACUGAGACACGGCCCAGACUCCUACGGGGGGCAGCAGUGGGGAAUAUUGGACAAUGGGGGGAACCCUGAUCCAGCCAUGCCGCGUGCGUGAAGAAGGCCUUAUGGUUGUAAAGCACUUUAAGCGAGGAGGAGGCUCUUUUGGUUAAUACCCAAGAUGAGUGGACGUUACUCGCAGAAUAAGCACCGGCUAACUCUGUGCCAGCAGCCGCAGUAA